rnacentral:RNase_P_RNA from 1 species
CGACCAGUGCAACAGAGAGCAAACCGCCGAUGGCCCACGUAAGUGGGAUCAGGUAAGGGUGAAAGGGUGCGGUAAGAGCGCACCGCGCGGCUGGUAACAGUCCGUGGCACGGUAAACUCCACCCGGAGCAAGGCCAAAUAGGGGUUCAUAAGGUACGGCCCGUACUGAACCCGGGUAGGCUGCUUGAGCCAGUGAGCGAUUGCUGGCCUAGAUGAAUGACUGUCCACGACAGAACCCGGCUUAUCGGUCAGUUUCACUU